GGAUUAGAUACCCUGGUAGUCCACGCCGUAAACGAUGGAAGCUAGCCGUCGGUGUGCAUGCACAUCGGUGGCGCAGUUAACGCACUAAGCUUCCCGCCUGGGGAGUACGGUCGCAAGAUUAAAACUCAAAGGAGUUGACGGGGGCCCGCACAAGCGGUGGAGCAUGUGGUUUAAUUCGAAGCAACGCGCAGAACCUUACCAGCCCUUGACAUCCCGGUCGCGGUUUCCAGAGAUGGAUUCCUUCAGUUCGGCUGGACCGGUGACAGGUGCUGCAUGGCUGUCGUCAGCUCGUGUCG
rnacentral:rRNA from 1 species